UGGAUCAUUUUGUUCUCUAUUUAAGGGUUAGAAGAAGCAUCACUCUUGUGAAAGAACAGACCUAGGUUCUCAAGUUUCUGCUAUCAGUGGCUACCUUUGAUUGACUACACAAUUUAAUACAAGCGCUUGAUUAGACCAUUGAUUGCCAGAUACACUUGGUAGAGUCUAUCCUCAGACUCUGGCCAUCGAUCUCUUGUAUACUAUGCUCAGGGGUGUCCACAAGUGGCUGGGCCUGGGAUGUAUUGUCAAGCCUAUAGUCCAAUCCUUGGUAUCUGGAUCAAGAUAUGACAUUACGGCACUGGCACUGGUGUUGGUUGUGUUAGUCUCCUUCACCGGCCUUCAAGGAAGUGCGGCCUGGGAUCGUGGCUAGUUUUGUGUGGACCAUCACUGAGCAAAAUGGAACCUUCCCCUCCAACCCCCGUCGUACUCCUCCUAGCUGAUGGGUGUGAACUCAUUGAAAGAUGAUGCCCCAGUGCCAUCCAACGCAGUAUUUAUUAAGUCUUUCUGGAAGCUCUCGUUUGAGAUCUUCGC